AACGACGCUGGCGGCGUGCCUAACACAUGCAAGUCGAGCGAGAAAGUCCCUUCGGGGGCGAGUAAAGCGGCGGACGGGUGAGUAAUACAUGGAUAAUCUUCCCUCGAGCCUGGGAUAACCCUGCGAAAGUGGGGCUAAUACCGGAUAAGACCACAUGACGCAUGUCACGGGGUAGAAGGUGGCUUGUAUUUAUAUGAGCUAUCACUUGAGGAUGAGUCCAUGGCCUAUCAGCUAGUUGGUGAGGUAAGAGCUUACCAAGGCUAUGACGGGUAGCUGGUCUGAGAGGACGACUAGCCACACUGGGACUGAGACACGGCCCAGACUCCUACGGGAGGCAGCAGUGGGGAAUAUUGGGCAAUGGGCGAAAGCCUGACCCAGCGACGCCGCGUGGGUGAUGAAGGCCUUCGGGUUGUAAAACCCUUUCGUGCGGAAAGAAUAGUCUCGUAGCGAAUAACUAUGGGAUUUGACGGUACCGCAGGAAGAAGCACCGGCUAACUCCGUG
rnacentral:rRNA from 1 species